AUGGCUGUCGUCAGCUCGUGUCGUGAGAUGUUGGGUUAAGUCCCGCAACGAGCGCAACCCCCGUCGCAUGUUGCCAGCAUUCAGUUGGGGACUCAUGCGAGACUGCCGGUGACAAACCGGAGGAAGGUGGGGAUGACGUCAAGUCCUCAUGCCCCUUAUGUUCAGGGCUACACACGUGCUACAUUGGCGCAUACAGAGGGCUGCGAUACCGCGAGGUGGAGCGAAUCCCUUAAAGUGCGUCUCGGUUCGGAUUGCAGGCUGAAAUUCGCCUGCAUGAAGGCGGAGUUGCUAGUAAUCGCGGAUCAGCAUUGCCGCGGUGAAUACGUUCCCGGGCCUUGUACACACCGCCCGUCACACCACGGGAGUGAGCAACACCCGAAGCCGGUGGCCUAACCCGCAAGGGAGGGAGCCGUCGAAGGUGGGGCUCGUGACUGGGGUGAAGUCGUAACAAGGUAGCCGUAGCGGAAGCUGCGGCUGGAUCACCUCCUUUCUAGGGAGCACCAAGCGGUGCCCCGAUCAUUCGAUCCGUCGCAAGACGGAUCUGCGGUCGCCAGGCCCUUGAGGCCAGGCGAUGUCAAGCGGAUCGGGCCUAGCAUGUCGACCGAACCUGGCUGGAUGGCCGCGCUCCGGACGUCCUCCCUGCUGCUUGGGAAGGAUGGCGGGACACGGCCGCAAAGAUCCAGCAUGCUGUUGAGUUUUGAGAGACCGGCGUCCGCCGGUCAUCACGGGGUCACGAUCGAAGUGACCGACAAGCGUGGAGACCAGCCGACGUUCACGCCUCUUCGCGGUCCUUGAAAACUGCACAGAAGCCACAUCAGCCGCCAUCGAUAAGCGGCGGCUGAAAAACGGGUAUCACCGAGCCCAGCAAACGCCCGCGCCUCGCGAGAGGCAUGGGUGCUGUUGGGCCAGAAUCACCGUCAAGAUAGUAAGGGCACACGGUGGAUGCCUUGGCACCAAGAGUCGAUGAAGGGCGUGAACGGCUGCGAUAAGCCACGGUUAGGCGCUGAAUAGCCUUUGACCCGUGGAUGCCCGAAUGGGGAAACCCGG
rnacentral:sRNA from 1 species